CCACCUUUGACAUGGCAGGAAGGCUCCAGAGAUGGGGCUGUGCUCGAAAGAGAACCUGCACACAGGUGCUGCAUGGCUGUCGUCAGCUCGUGUCGUGAGAUGUUGGGUUAAGUCCCGCAACGAGCGCAACCCUUGCCAUUAGUUGCUACGAAAGGGCACUCUAAUGGGACUGCCGGUGACAAGCCGGAGGAAGGUGGGGAUGACGUCAAGUCCUCAUGGCCCUUAUAGGUGGGGCUGCACACGUCAUACAAUGGCCGGUACAAAGGGUAGCCAACCCGCGAGGGGGAGCCAAUCCCAUAAAGCCGGUCGUAGUCCGGAUCGCAGUCUGCAACUCGACUGCGUGAAGUCGGAAUCGCUAGUAAUCGUGGAUCAGCAUGUCACGGUGAAUACGUUCCC
rnacentral:rRNA from 1 species